GAAAUUCGAUAAGUAAUGUGAAUUGCAGAAUUCCGUGAAUCAUCGAAUCUUUGAACGCACAUUGCGCCCUCUGGUAUUCCGGGGGGGCAUGCCUGUCCGAGCGUCAUUGCGAACCCCUCAAGCACGGCUUGUGUGAUGGGCCCUCCCGCGUCUUGGUCGUCAAGACGGGCCCGAAAUGCAGUGGCGGCUUCGCGGUUAUCCGAUCAGCCAGAGCGUAUGGGGACUCUCUCUCUUGUCACACGCCCGCGGCGCGGACCGACGCCUGUCGACCUUUAUUCAUCUUCUCUCGGUUGACCUCGGAUCAGGUAGGGAUACCCGCUGAACUUAAGC
rnacentral:misc_RNA from 1 species